UACGUAGGGUGCGAGCGUUGUCCGGAAUUAUUGGGCGUAAAGAGCUCGUAGGCGGUCUGUCGCGUCGGAUGUGAAAAGCCCGGGGCUUAACCCCCGGGUCUGCAUUCGAUACGGGGCAGACUAGAGUGUGGUAGGGGGAGAUCGGAAUUCCUGGUGUAGCGGUGAAAAUGCGCAGAUAUCAGGAGGAACACCGGUGGCGAAGGCGGAUCUCUGGGCCAUUACUGACGCUGAGGAGCGAAAAGCGUGGGGGAGCGAACAGGG
rnacentral:rRNA from 1 species